ACAGCCCCGUACACAAAAAUGCACAUACUGUGAGCUCGAUGAGUAGGGCGGGACACGUGGUAUCCUGUCUGAAUAUGGGGGGACCAUCCUCCAAGGCUAAAUACUCCUGACUGACCGAUAGUGAACCAGUACCGUGAGGGAAAGGCGAAAAGAACCCCGGCGAGGGGAGUGAAAAAGAACCUGAAACCGUGUACGUACAAGCAGUGGGAGCCUCUUAAUGGGGUGACUGCGUACCUUUUGUAUAAUGGGUCAGCGACUUAUAUUCUGUAGCAAGGUUAACCGAAUAGGGGAGCCGAAGGGAAACCGAGUCUUAACUGGGCGUUAAGUUGCAGGGUAUAGACCCGAAACCCGGUGAUCUAGCCAUGGGCAGGUUGAAGGUUGGGUAACACUAACUGGAGGACCGAACCGACUAAUGUUGAAAAAUUAGCGGAUGACUUGUGGCUGGGGGUGAAAGGCCAAUCAAACCGGGAGAUAGCUGGUUCUCCCCGAAAGCUAUUUAGGUAGCGCCUCGUGAAUUCAUCUCCGGGGGUAGAGCACUGUUUCGGCAAGGGGGUCAUCCCGACUUACCAACCCGAUGCAAACUGCGAAUACCGGAGAAUGUUAUCACGGGAGACACACGGCGGGUGCUAACGUCCGUCGUGAAGAGGGAAACAACCCAGACCGCCAGCUAAGGUCCCAAAGUCAUGGUUAAGUGGGAAACGAUGUGGGAAGGCCCAGACAGCCAGGAUGUUGGCUUAGAAGCAGCCAUCAUUUAAAGAAAGCGUAAUAGCUCACUGGUCGAGUCGGCCUGCGCGGAAGAUGUAACGGGGCUAAACCAUGCACCGAAGCUGCGGCAGCGACACUAUGUGUUGUUGGGUAGGGGAGCGUUCUGUAAGCCUGUGAAGGUGUACUGUGAGGUAUGCUGGAGGUAUCAGAAGUGCGAAUGCUGACAUAAGUAACGAUAAAGCGGGUGAAAAGCCCGCUCGCCGGAAGACCAAGGGUUCCUGUCCAACGUUAAUCGGGGCAGGGUGAGUCGACCCCUAAGGCGAGGCCGAAAGGCGUAGUCGAUGGGAAACAGGUUAAUAUUCCUGUACUUGGUGUUACUGCGAAGGGGGGACGGAGAAGGCUAUGUUGGCCGGGCGACGGUUGUCCCGGUUUAAGCGUGUAGGCUGGUUUUCCAGGCAAAUCCGGAAAAUCAAGGCUGAGGCGUGAUGACGAGGCACUACGGUGCUGAAGCGACAAAUGCCCUGCUUCCAGGAAAAGCCUCUAAGCAUCAGGUAACAUCAAAUCGUACCCCAAACCGACACAGGUGGUCAGGUAGAGAAUACCAAGGCGCUUGAGAGAACUCGGGUGAAGGAACUAGGCAAAAUGGUGCCGUAACUUCGGGAGAAGGCACGCUGAUAUGUAGGUGAAGCGACUUGCUCGUGGAGCUGAAAUCAGUCGAAGAUACCAGCUGGCUGCAACUGUUUAUUAAAAACACAGCACUGUGCAAACACGAAAGUGGACGUAUACGGUGUGACGCCUGCCCGGUGCCGGAAGGUUAAUUGAUGGGGUUAGCGGUAACGCGAAGCUCUUGAUCGAAGCCCCGGUAAACGGCGGCCGUAACUAUAACGGUCCUAAGGUAGCGAAAUUCCUUGUCGGGUAAGUUCCGACCUGCACGAAUGGCGUAAUGAUGGCCAGGCUGUCUCCACCCGAGACUCAGUGAAAUUGAACUCGCUGUGAAGAUGCAGUGUACCCGCGGCAAGACGGAAAGACCCCGUGAACCUUUACUAUAGCUUGACACUGAACAUUGAGCCUUGAUGUGUAGGAUAGGUGGGAGGCUUUGAAGUGUGGACGCCAGUCUGCAUGGAGCCGACCUUGAAAUACCACCCUUUAAUGUUUGAUGUUCUAACGUGGGCCCCUUACCGGGGUUGCGGACAGUGUCUGGUGGGUAGUUUGACUGGGGCGGUCUCCUCCUAAAGAGUAACGGAGGAGCACGAAGGUUGGCUAAUCCUGGUCGGACAUCAGGAGGUUAGUGCAAUGGCAUAAGCCAGCUUGACUGCGAGCGUGACGGCGCGAGCAGGUGCGAAAGCAGGUCAUAGUGAUCCGGUGGUUCUGAAUGGAAGGGCCAUCGCUCAACGGAUAAAAGGUACUCCGGGGAUAACAGGCUGAUACCGCCCAAGAGUUCAUAUCGACGGCGGUGUUUGGCACCUCGAUGUCGGCUCAUCACAUCCUGGGGCUGAAGUAGGUCCCAAGGGUAUGGCUGUUCGCCAUUUAAAGUGGUACGCGAGCUGGGUUUAGAACGUCGUGAGACAGUUCGGUCCCUAUCUGCCGUGGGCGCUGGAGAACUGAGGGGGGCUGCUCCUAGUACGAGAGGACCGGAGUGGACGCAUCACUGGUGUUCGGGUUGUCAUGCCAAUGGCACUGCCCGGUAGCUAAAUGCGGAAGAGAUAAGUGCUGAAAGCAUCUAAGCACGAAACUUGCCCCGAGAUGAGUUCUCCCUGACUCCUUGAGAGUCCUGAAGGAACGUUGAAGACGACGACGUUGAUAGGCCGGGUGUGUAAGCGCAGCGAUGCGUUGAGCUAACCGGUACUAAUGAACCGUGAGGCUUAACCUUACAACGCCGAAG
rnacentral:rRNA from 1 species